CAUAUGUAAAUGCUAUCUGGUUUGUGCGAUUGUGUUCUUCUCAUAUCCUCUUUGCAAUAUGUCAAUCAUUUUUCUAAAUAUGUUUACAAAAAUAUUAUAUGCACAUACUACCUCUUCUAUCCAACCAUUGAAAAAUGUCUAUUAUAAGCUAUUACUAACAUGCAGCUAUCAGAAAAACGUACUUAUAUGCUUCAAUGAUAUCAGUUGGCAGUAUGAUUCACAUUUUCGAGAGCCCACAUAAAAUUCAAUACUGUUACCGAUUGAACACCAAUUUUGUUAGCUAAAUAUUUUUAUAUAUUUCUUACCUAGGGCAAAAAAGAAAAUUUAUGGUUACAUUUGUAGUUGUACCCCUAUGUUUCAACACUAGGUAAUCUAUUUGGAUUGACGGUUAGAUUCUCCACCUUGAUGGAAAGAAGAGACCUGAGAGCGACACUACAAUCAAACAUAUACUUGCUCAUCAUGGAACUACUGCAAGGAAAACAAUGCUAGCCAUUACCUUACAGUCUUGGCCACUCUACAGAAUACCUACCCUGACAGGUUGAUGGCUGCGGCCUAAGGUGCCAAAGGUCUGAACUUCCAAUAGCAACACCAAAGAUUUCUUCAUACAUACAUGGUCGACUGGAUGUUUGUUCUUGCUCUAGGGGAUGAAAAGAUCAUAGAGGCACUGGAGCUGAGAAGGAUCCUCUUUUGCAUAUGGGUGUUUUAUCGGUUACUGAAGAUCACGGUGGACCAAGUGAAGAGCUCACCAUCCUCUCAUCCAACCAUGAAGAUGACGGCACCGAGCAAUGACAACUCAAAGACGUGGGAACACUGACACCACCCAUCCUACUGUGGUACGUACUUGUGGAUCUCUGCUUAGCUUUUCUCGCUAGAAAAGAGCUGUCAUGUAUACCAAAUAGAAUUUAGGAUCUAUGAUAUUUAUGCAAGUCAUGUAUACCAAAUAGAAUUUAGGAUCUAUGAUAUUUAUGCAAGGCAGUUCCAUGAACUAUGUAAGCAAGUUCCAGGUAUAAAUUAAUACGACCGGCUAACCUCCGUUUUAUAA